ACAGCAGCAGCCGCGGUAACACGGAGGGUGCAAGCGUUAAUCGGAAUUACUGGGCGUAAAGCGCACGCAGGCGGUCUGACAAGUCAGAUGUGAAAUCCCCGGGCUUAACCUGGGAACUGCAUUUGAAACUGUCAGGCUGGAGUCUUGUAGAGGGGGGUAGAAUUCCAGGUGUAGCGGUGAAAUGCGUAGAGAUCUGGAGGAAUACCGGUGGCGAAGGCGGCCCCCUGGACAAAGACUGACGCUCAGGUGCGAAAGCGUGGGGAGCAAACAGGAUUAGAUACCCGAGUAGUCCCUGUCUCUUAUAC
rnacentral:rRNA from 1 species